CAAAGGCUUGGUCCUGGCCUUACUAUCAAUUUUAACCCAAUUUACACAUGCAAGUAGGCUUGGUCCUGGCCUUACUAUCAAUUUUAACCCAAUUUACACAUGCAAGUCUCCGCACCCCUGUGAGAAUGCCCUUAAUCCCCCAACCACAUAGGGGAAAAGGAGCAGGUAUCAGGCACGCACCCGCAGCCCAAGACGCCUUGCUAAGCCACACCCCCAAGGGAACUCAGCAGUGAUAAACAUUGAGCCAUGAGCGUAAGCUCGACUCAGCCAGAGUUAAGAGGGCCGGUAAAACUCGUGCCAGCCACCGCGGUUAUACGAGAGGCCCCAACUGAUGGUCCACGGCGUAAAGCGUGAUUAAAGGAUGCCCAUUAUACUAGAGCCAAAAGCCCCCUAAGCUGUCAUACGCACCUGAGGGCCCGAAGCCCAACCACGAAGGUAGCUCUACCCAACAAGGACCCCUUGAACCCACGACAACUGAGACACAAACUGGGAUUAGAUACCCCACUAUGCUCAGUCAUAAACUUUGGUGAUAAAUUACACAUAUUGCCCGCCAGGGUACUACGAGCGCUAGCUUAAAACCCAAAGGACUUGGCGGUGCCCCAGACCCACCUAGAGGAGCCUGUUCUAGAACCGAUAAUCCCCGUUAAACCUCACCACUUCUUGUCAUUACCGCCUAUAUACCGCCGUCGUCAGCUUACCCUGUGAAAGACUAAUAGUAAGCAAAAAUGGCACACCCAAAAACGUCAGGUCGAGGUGUAGCGAAUGAAGUGGAAAGAAAUGGGCUACAUUUUCUGACACAGAAAAUACACGAAUAACACUGUGAAACCAGUGGUUGAAGGUGGAUUUAGCAGUAAAGAGAAAAUAGAAAGUUCUUUUGAAGCCGGCUAUGGGGCGCGCACACACCGCCCGUCACUCUCCUCAAAGGAAUACCCCAAAUACAUAAAUCUACAACCCAAACAAGAGGAGGCAAGUCGUAACAUGGUAAGUGUACCGGAAGGUGCACUUGGAACAAC
rnacentral:rRNA from 1 species